CACGUAGGGGGCAAGCGUUGUCCGGAUUUAUUGGGCGUAAAGAGCUCGUAGGCGGCGCGGUAAGUCGGGUGUGAAAUCUUGGAGCUUAACUCCGAAACUGCAUUCGAUACUGCCGUGCUUGAGGACUGGAGAGGAGACUGGAAUUUACGGUGUAGCGGUGAAAUGCGUAGAUAUCGUAAGGAAGACCAGUGGCGAAGGCGGGUCUCUGGACAGUUCCUGACGCUGAGGCACGAAGGUCAGGGGAGCAAACGGG
rnacentral:rRNA from 1 species